GCCUGGGUGGCUCAGUCGGUUAAGCAUCUGACUUCAGCUCAGGUCAUGAUAUCACGGUUUGUGAGUUCGAGCCCCACAUCGGGCU
rnacentral:tRNA from 1 species